AGUGAACGUUGGCGGCGUGGAUUAGGCAUGCAAGUCGAGCGAGAACCGUAGCAAUACGGGGACAGCGGCGAAAGGGACAGGAAUGUGUAGGUACCUACCUCCGGGUUCGGGAUAGCUGCGGGAAACUGCAGGUAAUACCGAAUAACGUCUCAGGACCAAAGGUGUGAUUCCACCUGGAGAGGGGCCUGCAUCCUAUUAGCGUGUUGGCGAGGUAACGGCCCACCAAGGCGACGAUGGGUAGCGGGUGUGCGAGCACGACCCGCGUCGUUGGGACUGAGACACUGCCCAGACACCUACGGGUGGCUGCAGUCGAGGAUCUUCGGCAAUGGGCGCAAGCCUGACCGAGCGACGCCGCGUGCGGGAUGAAGGCCUUCGGGUUGUAAACCGCUGUCGUAGAGGAGGAAGUGCAGGGGGGUUCUCCCCUCUGUUUGACCUAUUCUAGGAGGAAGGACGGGCUAAGUUCGUGCCAGCAGCCGCAGUAA
rnacentral:rRNA from 1 species